AGUUCGUGGAACAAUUUUGGUAAGUAAAAACUGUGUCGAUGUGCAUGUUCUUGUUCUCAGAAAGUAGAAGAUUAUGUUAUGAACUAAAGCAAAAUAACACAUGCACAGAUACCAUGCAGGAUAGCUAUGAAAGGAAGCUUUCCACUCAAUGGCACAUAUUUUCAAGUUAAUGAGGUGAGUAGACCCGAAGAAAAAAAAGGAAAGAGAGAGUUCCAGUUGCAGGAAUUGGAAGCCAUCAGCUAGCCUCUAAUAUAUAAGAGGUUCGAGCAUUCGAGCUCGAAACAGGUUCUCCGAAACGUCUUGCAAAGAGAUUCCACUGUGCACUAAGCAGGAUGGAGAAGAACGGAAGGAAAAGAGGUGGUACUGAAACAGAUGACGCUAAAGCCAUCACUCUAAUGCCUGCCUUAUAGUGUGAAUCAUUAGCCUAAUUCUUGAACAUGGUGUCUUUAUGCAACUUAAACUACAGUCAUUAGUACUGCUAAUCCGAAGUCUGUAUUAUCGGAGAAAUCAAAAUAUUUUACCCCAAUUCUCUACAACUCAUGAUCAAAAUGAUGGUGCUUCUGUCUUGAGAAUGGUUUCAGCUACCUAGAUGCUUCCACAUUGACCCUUUUUUCAUCAAAGUUUUGUGGCUUAAUUUAGUUGUUACUAACUGCGUUGGCUGAA
rnacentral:lncRNA from 1 species